rnacentral:rRNA from 1 species
UACGAAGGGGGCUAGCGUUGCUCGGAAUCACUGGGCGGAAAGCGCACGUAGGCGGAUCGUUAAGUCAGGGGUGAAAUCCUGGAGCUCAACUCCAGAACUGCCUUUGAUACUGGCGACCUUGAGUUCGGGAGAGGUGAGUGGAACUGCGAGUGUAGAGGUGAAAUUCGUAGAUAUUCGCAAGAACACCAGUGGCGAAGGCGGCUCACUGGCCCGAUACUGACGCUGAGGUGCGAAAGCGUGGGGAGCAAACAGG